ensembl:lncRNA
AAUCUGAUACCACAUCUGGGUGUGUGCAAGGAGUAGAGAUGAGCAUUCUAUGGUUUUUCCCACAGAUGACACAGAACCUGAAUUACAAGCUCACAUCACAUCUCUUAUAAUGUGUAAACUUGCAACCACUUAUCCUCAGCCUCCUCCAUGCUGUGUUGCAAAGAGAAAGUUCCAGAAUGUCUUGGAAGGCAUGGACGUCAGUGAUGUGUUAGAAUUGUAAGCUUACUGUCAAAGGUUCUAAACCAAGAAGAAGAGAAUAAUCUAGCAGUGUUUUCCUUCAUAUGUUGUAUUUAUAAGGGUUUUUUAAAAAUUAAACAUAGUGACUUGUGUGGGUGCUUAAAAAAACCCACCAGAGGCAAAGCAAUUUGAUGUCAACGGUACUUCCAAAUUCACUGAAUAUAGCUCAAAUCACUCUUUGCUCUUAAUUGAAUUGAUAUCCAUCUGGAACAACUGCACUAUCACGUGGAAGUCAUAAAGAGGCUGUGUACGUCCUGACUGCAGGACUUCUGGUAACACAAAGGACCUAAGCAGUCCUCAGUGGAUAACUGUGAAAAGUUUAGAAUUUGCAUAAUCAGUUGCUUCAAUUUCUUACCUUUAGGUUUUCCUCCUGAGUUUACUUAACCAUGUGCCAAAUAUCCACCAAAGAUUUGAUAACCCCCAAAAAGGCCUAAGAAAGGAAACAUCGUAAAAUAUCAUGGCUGUAUAUUUGUGCUUUAUUCCCUUCAACGGCCUCCUGAAGCUCACAACGUCUACCAAAACCCACACUUCUAUAUGCACAGAGCCUCAGCUCUGCAUAAACACGAUUCUCCUUCUUUUGAAUUUGUAUGAGCUUUUGCAGACUGAAUUUCAGUCCCCGAAGUGACACCAUAGUGCCAUCGUUCUCUCUUCUUUGAAGCAUCUGAAGUCCUCUUUCGGUCACUUAAAAGUCUCUUAAAAAGCCCUGAGGAGUGAAUUAAUGCCUCCUUCAGUGCACCCCUUUGCUGAAACUGCGAAUGGCAGUAAGAAGUGGUUCGGGUGUUCGUGUCCAGUGGAUUACGAGCAGAGCCAGGAAUAGGGAAAUGUUUUCUAAUCUUUGUAUGGCUGCUAAUUCAUUUAAUGGCAUCAAGCAGAUUUCUUAAUCUCAUUACAUCAUAGUUACUCCAUGUUUGAAAUAAGGUUGAUGAAUAUCCAGCAUUGUUCAUCAUCUUGCGAUCUGCAGCUAUAGAAUAACAACGUAGGCAGACUGGGGAUGACAGAUGAUUCAAAUAGUGUUUUGUGAUCCUGGCCUAUGGCAAAAAUGUAUGUUGCCAGGAUAGCAUACUCAAUACCAAAGCAGUUGCUAAGUAAACAAUGUGGAUUAUGAAAUAACUAAUACUUAAUUAAAAACGGUGUUAAGAUUUAUGAAGUCCACCAAAAGACCUCCCUAGAGACUUUCUCAGCUUCUUGUCUGGAAAAUAUUUUAAAUUUAUUGUUAUCAUCACCCUAAUUAUUUUCAUGAUUCCAGAGUCCUAUUCAGGAUUUAUGUACUGAAAAGAAGAACUAUGUUAUCUAGGUAGGUCUUCAGAAAUUGGCUUCUUCUUGUUGGUUACUCAACAUGUGUGGUUAUUUUGGGGCUGUUAGGGCCUGGUGAUAAAUGUAAAAAAGCUGCCUAUCGUGCAUUCAUCCCUGCCUUAGCUGGGUACUGAUUAGAUUGGCUUUUCAUUGUGCUCCCAGAACAUCGUUUUAUUAAAGCUUUUUGUCAUGACAUGAGACUCACUGUAUUCAUGGAUAAGGCUUAUUCAAGGGAGUGUGACUUAAGGGGCUGGGCCCAAAGCUAGCCAGGACACUGAGGUUAUGUAGCUUUGGAAAGAAGCAGGACACUAUCAGCGAGCAUGGAAAAUAGGUCCUAAACAUAGAACCAGUGGCAGUCUAUUUGAAGACAAUCCUUCUGCAAUGAAACGUGAUCCAGAUUGGUGUCAGGGGACUAUUUGCUAUUCACUGACAUUAACGUCAACUCACAGCUGGUAUUCUUGAGGAUCAGGAGUUUUGUAUUAAACUGGAGGAGAAUGGAUGCAUUCCUGUUUCCAGGCCUUCAAACACUGCAGCUGGGGCCCAUGUUGCAUGCCCUCUUGUCUGCUGCUACUCCUGCCCCCAGCAGACCCAUAUGGAGCAGUGGUGGCCUUGCAGGUGCUUCCCUCAGAGCAGUAUCUCCAAUAUCUACUGCACUGCUGCUGCCCGUGCAGCUCACCGGGCAGAUGAGGCCCUGCCAGCAGCAGCAUGCCAGGCUGUUGCUGGCAAAGCUGGGCGCUCCUGGCCAAGCCUGGGGCAUCUGCAGGGCUCUUUCCGCCUGGACAAACCCUUGCAAGGUUUGCAAGAUGGAGUGUGGGCCUUCACAUAUACCCAUAGUGAAGUAAUUCCUCUCUUUAAUGUAAACCUCUGUAUGAUACAGCAUUUGUCUCUUUAACCUGGCACAUGCCUUUAUAAACACACCUUUGUUUUUUUGCAUGGAGACGUAUUGCCAACAUCGUCAAGUUCCAUCUAAGAAAAUACAAAGCCCAUUAGAAUGAUAUUCAUUUUAUGCACACUUACUUACACCUUAAACCAUACCAAAUGUAUGAGCCUUAGGGAUACGUAGUGAAUUUUUCACCCAAAGCUCAGUUAUUUUCAAUUCAACUGAUGAAUUGAGUGUACUGACUUCAAGGUCACAGGGCAUGUUGGUUGGAUGGCUAAAAUUCUUCAGAAAGGGGUUUGUGUAUUUAUAAGGAUAACAGUAAUAUUCAGAGUGACAUCAGGAGGGUAAUAAAAAUAAUCAAAGGAGUUUAGUGAAGGAAUUAAUACAUUACCAUGUAGAAUAACAAAUGAGGAGUAGGAAAAUGCAAUUCCUCUGUGGGGUUUUGUAUACCUGCCUUCCACGGUGCUGCUCCCACCUCCCUCUGUGGUCCUCAGGGCUGCACACUCUGAGAGGCACACCUCUUUUCCAGCUGGGCAGCAGACACCAAAGAAAUGUGGUCACCGAGCUCUGAUAGAUGAGGCAUGGUUUUACUAAAGAGCACAGAUGACCGUGGUAAAAGUGUAGUGAAGAGCAGGGACUUAAGGAUUUUUGGGUGGUGCGUGCUAUGAGCUUGGCUGUUUCAUGCUGUGGAAAAACCAGAGUGACUGUUCUGCAUUCUUACCUGCAGGUUGCUUGUGCAUGCCCGUUCCUGGCUGCUUGCUUUCCAGCAGUGCAGACAAGCCCGCCGUCCCGUCCUGCCUGGUGCAGCAGCAGCGUGUCGUCAGGCCUUGUGGUAACUCUGCAAUGUGGAGAAACUGGCAUGAGGAAUAUGCCUGUGCUGUGCUGUGAACUACUGGAGCUGACUUUGAGUUCAGCAGCCAUACAAGAAGUCUGGUGGUGCAGAUCUGUACUGGGCUGCAGCAGUGAGAGAAAACAGUUCUCUGUUCCCAUGUUUGACAUUUUCAGUGCCUUCCAGCAAGGUGGAAUAUCCUGACAAACGGAGGUUACUUUGCAUGGCACUGCGGAAAGCAGUCAGGGAAAAUAUGGCCAGAGAAGAUUAAACCAUGUAAAAUAAACAAAACCUGAGCAUUUCUGAACUAUUCUUGUAAGACCCAAUCAUUCCCCUUCAUCACGUUUAUUUCAAAGAAUUCAUAGAUUCGUUAUAUAAAUUUGUAUAUAUAGCAAAAUGCAAAAAUAACCUUUCUCCUUUAAGAAUGAAUAGCUCAGGGUUCUUACACCACAUCAUAUGUUCACAUGAGCAGAGUUAUUGACGCCAGUAAGGACAGCUCUGGGACCAGA